GACGAACGCUGGCGGCGUGCUUAACACAUGCAAGUCGAACGGUAAGGCCCUGCCUUUGUGGGGUGCUCGAGUGGCGAACGGGUGAGUAACACGUGAGUAACCUGCCCUUGACUUUGGGAUAACCUCAGGAAACUGGGGCUAAUACCGGAUAGGAGCUCCUGCUGCAUGGUGGGGGUUGGAAAGUUUCGGCGGUUGGGGAUGGACUCGCGGCUUAUCAGCUUGUUGGUGGGGUAGUGGCUUACCAAGGCUUUGACGGGUAGCCGGCCUGAGAGGGUGACCGGCCACAUUGGGACUGAGAUACGGCCCAGACUCCUACGGGAGGCAGCAGUGGGGAAUAUUGCACAAUGGGCGGAAGCCUGAUGCAGCAACGCCGCGUGCGGGAUGACGGCCUUCGGGUUGUAAACCGCUUUCGCCUGUGACGAAGCGUGAGUGACGGUAAUGGGUAAAGAAGCACCGGCUAACUACGUG
rnacentral:rRNA from 1 species